CCUACGGGAGGCAGCAGUGGGGAAUUUUGCGCAAUGCUCGUAAGAGUGACGCAGCGACGCCGCGUGAUUGAAGAAGGCCUUCGGGUUGUAAAGAUCUUUAAUCGGGGACGAAUUUUGACGGUACCCGAAGAAUAAGCUCCGGCUAACUACGUGCCAGCAGCCGCGGUAAUACGUAGGGAGCAAGCGUUAGCCGGAUUUACUGGGUGUAAAGGGCGGGUAGGCGGGAAUGCAAGCCAGAAGUGAAAUCUGGGGGCUUAACCCCCAAACUGCUUUUGGAACUGCGUGUCUUGAGUGAUGGAGAGGCAGGCGGAAUUCCCAGUGUAGCGGUGAAAUGCGUAGAUAUUGGGAGGAACACCAGUGGCGAAGGCGGCCUGCUGGACAUUAACUGACGCUGAGGCGCGAAAGCGUGGGGAGCAAACAGGAUUAGAUACCCCAGUAGUC
rnacentral:rRNA from 1 species